UACGACUACAUAUCAGGCAUAUCAAUAAGCGGAGGAAAAGAAACUAACUAAGGAUUCCCUCAGUAACGGCGAGUGAAGCGGGAAGAGCUCAAAUUUGAAAUCUUCAAGGUUUUACCUUGACGAAUUGUAGUUUAAAGAAGUGUUUUCUGUUGGAGUUUUGGUAAAAGUUCUUUGGAAUAGGACAUCAUAGAGGGUGAGAAUCCCGUAUUUGACCAUUAUUUCCAGCUUUGUGAUACACUUUCAAAGAGUCGGAUUGUUUGGGAAUGCAGUCCAAAAUGGGUGGUAAAUUUCAUCUAAAGCUAAAUAUUGGCGAGAGACCGAUAGCGAACAAGUACCGUGAGGGAAAGAUGAAAAGAACUUUGAAAAGAGAGUUAAACAGUACGUGAAAUUGUCAAAAGGGAAGCGUUUGACACCAGUGUUGUUUCUACGAAAAUCAAUUUAUGAUGGCUUGAUGCUAAGCUUUAAGACUUUAUCCGCUUGUUGUUUAGUUUUCUUGUCUUUGUGAAUGCACUUUUCGUGGAACAAGUCAACAUCAAUUUCUUUUGCUGUAAAAGGGUAAGAGGAAGGUGGCUUCGGCUUCGGUUGAAGUGUUUAUAGCCUUUUAUCUCUGCAGUCGGAGAGAUUGAGGUCUGCAGCGUAGACUCUUCGGGGUUAGAUACGUCGGUGCUAAGCUAUAGCUUUUCAUAGACAACUUGUUGACUAUGUUUAGUCAUGUGGCUUACCCGCUGGCGCUAUUUUACCUACGCUUAGGAUGUUGACACACGCGCGUGCUCG
rnacentral:rRNA from 1 species